ensembl:ncRNA asRNA:CR44959 antisense RNA:CR44959
AAACACUUUUCGCACUUUCCGCACCUCCACCACCGCCAGCGCCUCCUCAGCUCCGCUCCGCGCUUUUCUGCUUUUCUUUCCACGUUCCUCUUCUCCACGUUUUCCGCCUACGGAUCGCGGACCAUUUCCCGAAAACGGGUAAAAAGAACUCGGGGAAAACACGCCGCCUGGGCUGAUUAGGUCGAUGCCGGGACAAAAUAAAAACCGUACAACUAUAGCGAGCGAUCUCCGACGGAAGAUGAAAAAACUAAAGGACUGCUCACCCGCAAAACAGGAUCCUCGUGCAAAGGCGGCGGAUAUCGUACAGUAUGGAUGCGAUGACGGCCGAACAAACCCGUAGCGAAGCUUUCCGCACUUUUCAGCGUUCUCUGGGUCGCAGUAUACUUGAAGUAGUACCACUCCGGAUUGUACAACUCCGGAAGUAGAUCCGGAAAUCGCCGCUGCAUCCGUUCCGCCAGCUCAAUCAGCUCAUCCUCACCCUCGGCCACCAGUAAUUUCUCAUC